rnacentral:rRNA from 1 species
GACGAACGCUGGCGGCGUGCUUAACACAUGCAAGUCGUACGGUAAGGCCCUUUCGGGGGUACACGAGUGGCGAACGGGUGAGUAACACGUGCGUAACCUGCCCACAACUUUGGGAUAACGCUAGGAAACUGGUGCUAAUACUGGAUAUGUGCUCCUGCUGCACGGAGGGGGUUGGAAAGCUCCGGCGGUUGUGGAUGGACUCGCGGCCUAUCAGCUUGUUGGUGGGGUAGUGGCCUACCAAGGCGGCGACGGGUAGCCGGCCUGAGUGGGUGACCGGCCACAGUGGGACUGGGAUACGGCCCAGACUCCUACGGGAGGCAGCAGUGGGGAUUAUUGCACAAUGGGCGCAAGCCUGAUGCAGCAACGCCGCGGGCGGGAGGACGGCCUUCGGGUUGUAAUCCGCUUUCAGCAGGGACGAAGCUUUUUGUGACGGUACCUGCAGAAGAAGCACCGGCUAACUACGUG